CUCUUCCAGCAGGCUUAUCUUUGAGACAAGCAUAUGACUACUGGCAGGAUCAACCAGGUAGCAUUCCUUUUUGCUGCCGGCACCGCAUGAACAAGAGGACAAAUACUGUCCUCCCGUCAACACGGGGCACGUCAGGCUUCCGUAAGGGACAAUUGAUUCGGGCAAAAAGGGAACAAAGGCCCCACCCAUAUUUGGUUCCUCCAUACAAAAUUCCGAGCAACACUGGGCCGCCCGUGGCUGGUAACUAAAAUAAGCAAAGCAAGGACGGACGUCCAUGAGGACUUUCAGGGCCAAUGCCCACCAAAAAUUUUCGCACGAGAUAGAACAGGGGCCAUGGGACUAGAGAAUUCCAUCAAAAUAGGUAUGCUAUACAGGGGGCCAAGCCAAUCCAAGGCAAAAUAUUUACCAUCCAAACAUAAUUGACUAGGAUUAACCCACGAUUGGCCCUUGCCAGGGAAGGAACCCACCCACCCGAACCAUACAAUUCACACUCCCCCCCCCAUGAA
rnacentral:misc_RNA from 1 species